ensembl:lncRNA LINC02253 long intergenic non-protein coding RNA 2253
AGUUUGAUCUCAGACUGCUGUGCUAGCAAUUAGCAAGACUCCGUGGGCGUAGGACCCUCCGAGCCAGGUGCGGGUUAUAAUCUACUGGUGCGCCGUGUUUUAAGCCCGUGGAAAAGCACAGUAUUAGGGUGGGAGUGACCCGAUUUUCCAGGUGCCGUCGGUCACCCCUUUCUUUGACUAGGAAAGGGAACUCCCUGACCCCUUGCGCUUCCCGAGUGAGGCAAUGUCUCGCCCUGCUUUGGCUCGCGCAUGGUGCGCUGCACCCACUGUCCUGCGCCCACUGUCUGGCACUCCCUAGUGAGAUGAACGCGGUACCUCAGAUGGAAAUGCAGAAAUCACCUGUCUUCUGCGUCACUCAUGCUGGGAGCUGUAGACCCGAGCUGUUCCUGUUCGUCCAUCUUGGCUGUAAUCCCAGGUUCAUCAAAAUAAGAUAUGAUCAAGGUACAAAAGAGUUAAAGAAGCUAUUUAUUUUAAUGUUUCCUUGGAGAGCACACUUGUUAUUUGAGCUCAAGAUGUCUUUGUUGAAACAGAACCUCCCGAAGUUACAGUAUUGGUUUUGGGGCUCCACACAGAGAACACAUCACGGAAGCUAUAAUUGAGGAAGACAAAGCUGUCAGGACGACACCAAGAGAGUUAGAAAGCCCAAGAGUGGAGCAUUCUUCACCAUGAUUCCACCUGACACUUGGCUGAAAGCAUUUUGCACUAAUUUGCUUUGUGCCCGUUCAGACAAUCUAAAAAGAAAGGAUGGGGGGACAACAAGUGUCUAUUACACAGAAUAAACAGCCUCUGGCAAAUGAA